AGGAUUUGGUAUAUUACAGCUUCACCUGCUUUUCCAGAUUUUUUGUGAAGGCUGAAGCAAUGCAAAUGUCUAGUAUAGGACAAAAAUGGGACUUAACAGCAUUUUGAAGUCAAAGUACAAGAAAUACUAGAUGCAAAACAUCACAACUUUUCCAGAGAUCUCUGCAAGUUAACCAGAUUGCUUCAACCUACGACAAAGGAGCAGGAACACGUGGACUUCAGUUGUGCUCCAUGAUGCGGGCAGUAUCAUGAAGCAGCACGGAUUUCACCAAGUGAUUCUACAGAAGAGCCAUUGGUAUUCAACUCCAGUCUACCUUCCUGACUUUGAUUCCAAUUGCUGGCUCCAGGGCAACUGCUGAGACUUCACACCUACGCAGAUAUCCUUUUUUAUCUUCUUUUUUUAUGUUCUCCUGUAAAGGCACUGUCCUUCUCUGCUACCGUCUGCAACCACAGUCAUAGCCUUAAUACUGCAAUAGGUUUAGCAGUAGUCACCUCCACUGACUGAAGAAGUCCCCUUAGCAAUCUCCUUCCUAUCUGGGAAGGACACUUUACUCCUAACUUUUAUCAGUCUCAAUCUCCCACAUGCCUCUCAAAAUUCAUACAUACCUCUCACCAACAUUUUAUAUACUAUAUUCGUAAAUAUAAUCCCAUUAUGUAUUCAUGUUAGGUCUGUAUACACUGUCCAGAGUACUGGAAGGAAAUGCCCCACCCCUUUACUCUGGG